UACUACAUUAGAUACUCUUACCUCUACAUUAGAACUCUUACUCUACAUAGAUACACGACUAUACAUUAGAUAUCUUACCUCUACACUAGAUUCUUACCACUACAUUAGAUACUCUUACCACUACAUUAGAUACUCUUACCUCUACAUUAGAUACUCUUACCUCUACAUUAGAUACUCUUACCUCUACAUUAGCUCCUCUAGCUCCUCUUACUCUACAUUAGUACUCUUACAUCUACAUCAGAUACUCUACCACACAUUAGAUACUCUUACAUCUUAGUUUCUCUUACUCUACAUUAGGAUACUCUUUACCUCGACAUAGAUUACUUCUUACCUCUACAUUAGAUAUCUUACCGCUACAUCAGAUACUUUUUACCACUAACGUUAGAUAACUCUUACCACUACAUUAGCUCUUUACCUCUACGAUUAGAUACUCUUACCUCCUACAUUAUUAAUACCUUACCUCUACAUUAGUACUCUUACCACUACAUUAGAUACUGUUACUCUACAUUAGUCCUCCUAGCCCUCUUAACCUCUACAUUAGAUACUCUACCUCUACAUCAGAAUACUCUUACCACUACAUUAGAUACUCUUACCACAUACAUUAGUCCUCCUUACCUCUUACAUUAAGAUACUCUUACCUCGACAUUAAGAUACCUCUUACCACUACAUUAGAUACUCUUACCUCUACAUUAGCCUUCUAGCCUCCUGCUUACCUCUCAUUACGAUACUCUUACCUCUACAUUAGAUAGUCUUAACAUCUCUGAAUU
rnacentral:lncRNA from 1 species